GAUGAACGCUGGCGGCGUGCUUAACACAUGCAAGUCGAACGAAGCACUUUAUUUGAUUUCCUUCGGGACUGAUCAUUUUGUGACUGAGUGGCGGACGGGUGAGUAACGCGUGGGUCACCUGCCUUGUACAGGGGGAUAACAGGCGAAAACGGCUGCUAAUACCGCAUAAGCGCACAGCAUCGCAUGAUGCAGUGUGAAAAACUCCGGUGGUAUAAGAUGGACCCGCGUUGGAUGAGCUAGUUGGUGAGGUAACGGCCCCCCAAGGCGGCGAGCCACAGCCGACCUGUGAGGGUGGCCGGCCACCUUGGGACUGGGCCACGGCCCGAACUCCUACGGGAGGCAGCAGUGGGUAAUCUUGCACAAUGGGCGAAAGCCUGAUGCAGCGACGCCGCGUGAGCGAAGAAGUAUUUCGGUAUGUACAGCUCUAUCAGCAGGGAAGAUAAUGACGGUACCUGACUAAGAAGCACCGGCUAACUACGUG
rnacentral:rRNA from 1 species